UACGGGGGGGGGCAAGCGUUGUUCGGAAUUACUGGGCGUAAAGGGCUCGUAGGCGGCCAACUAAGUCGGAUGUGAAAUCCCCAAGCUUAACUUGGGAACUGCAUCCGAUACUGGAUGGCUUGAAUCCGGGAGAGGGAUGCAGAAUUCCAGGUGUAGCGGUGAAAUGCGCAGAUAUCAGGAAGAACACCAAUGGCGAAAGCAGCUCUCUGGGACGGUACUGACGCUGAGACGCGAAAGCGUGGGGAGCGAACAGG
rnacentral:rRNA from 1 species